rnacentral:rRNA from 1 species
GACGAACGCUGGCGGCGUGCUUAACACAUGCAAGUCGAACGGAAAGGCCCUGCUUUUGUGGGGUGCUCGAGUGGCGAACGGGUGAGUAACACGUGAGUAACCUGCCCUUGACUUUGGGAUAACUUCAGGAAACUGGGGCUAAUACCGGAUAGGAGCUCCUGCUGCAUGGUGGGGGUUGGAAAGUUUCGGCGGUUGGGGAUGGACUCGCGGCUUAUCAGCUUGUUGGUGGGGUAGUGGCUUACCAAGGCUUUGACGGGUAGCCGGCCUGAGCGGGUGACCGGCCACAUUGGGACUGAGAUACGGCCCAGACUCCUACGGGAGGCAGCAGGGGGGAAUAUUGCACAAUGGGCGGAAGCCUGAUGCAGCAACGCCGCGUGCGGGAUGACGGCCUUCGGGUUGUAAACCGCUUUCGCCUGUGACGAAGCGUGAGUGACGGUAAUGGGUAAAGAAGCACCGGCUAACUACGUG